rnacentral:rRNA from 1 species
UACGUAGGGUGCGAGCGUUAAUCGGAAUUACUGGGCGUAAAGCGUGCGCAGGCGGUUUUGUAAGCCAGAUGUGAAAUCCCCGGGCUUAACCUGGGAAUGGCAUUUGGGACUGCAAGGCUGGAGUUUGGCAGAGGAGACUGGAAUUCCUGGUGUAGCAGUGAAAUGCGUAGAUAUCAGGAGGAAUACCGGUGGCGAAGGCGGCAUCCUGGACCGGCAUUGACGCUGAGUGAGCGAAAGCCAGGGGAGCAAACGGG